rnacentral:rRNA from 1 species
AUGCCUACGGGAGGCAGCAGUGAGGAAUAUUGGUCAAUGGACGCAAGUCUGAACCAGCCAUGCCGCGUGCAGGAUGACGGCUCUAUGAGUUGUAAACUGCUUUUGUACGAGGGUAAACCCCGAUACGUGUAUCGGGUUGAAAGUAUCGUACGAAUAAGGAUCGGCUAACUCCGUGCCAGCAGCCGCGGUAAUACGGAGGAUCCGAGCGUUAUCCGGAGUUAUUGGGGUUAAAGGGUGCGUAGGCGGUUUGAUAAGUUAGAGGUGAAAUGACGGGGUGCAACCCCGGAACUGCCUCUAAUACUGUU